rnacentral:rRNA from 1 species
AGUUUGAUCCUGGCUCAGGAUGAACGCUAGCUACAGGCUUAACACAUGCAAGUCGAGGGGAAACGAUAGAGAAAGCUUGCUUUUUCUAGGCGUCGACCGGCGCACGGGUGAGUAACGCGUAUCCAACCUGCCCAUCACUUGGGGAUAACCUUGCGAAAGUAAGACUAAUACCCAAUGACGUCCAUAGAAGACAUCUGAAGGAGAUUAAAGAUUUAUCGGUGAUGGAUGGGGAUGCGUCUGAUUAGCUUGUUGGCGGGGUAACGGCCCACCAAGGCGACGAUCAGUAGGGGUUCUGAGAGGAAGGUCCCCCACAUUGGAACUGAGACACGGUCCAAACUCCUACGGGAGGCAGCAGUGAGGAAUAUUGGUCAAUGGACGAGAGUCUGAACCAGCCAAGUAGCGUGCAGGAUGACGGCCCUAUGGGUUGUAAACUGCUUUUAUAAGGGAAUAAAGUGAGUCUCGUGAGACUUUUUGCAUGUACCUUAUGAAUAAGGACCGGCUAAUUCCGUGCCAGCAGCCGCGGUAAUACGGAAGGUCCGGGCGUUAUCCGGAUUUAUUGGGUUUAAAGGAAGCGUAGGCCGGAGAUUAAGCGUGUUGCGAAAUGUAGACGCUCAACGUCUGCACUGCAGCGCGAACUGGUUUCCUUGAGUACGCACAAAGUGGGCGGAAUUCGUGGUGUAGCGGUGAAAUGCUUAGAUAUCACGAAGAACUCCGAUUGCGAAGGCAGCUCACUGGAGCGCAACUGACGCUGAAGCUCGAAAGUGCGGGUAUCGAACAGGAUUAGAUACCCUGGUAGUCCGCACGGUAAACGAUGGAUGCCCGCUGUUGGUCUGAAUAGGUCAGCGGCCAAGCGAAAGCAUUAAGCAUCCCACCUGGGGAGUACGCCGGCAACGGUGAAACUCAAAGGAAUUGACG